rnacentral:lncRNA from 1 species
AUAAAUAAAUAGUUGGUUUUCCCAGUGAGACUCCCACGGAGAAAACUGAAUUUUCAUUUGCAAGUGGUUAUCAAUUGGAGAUAGCUUCUUGGUUAGGGAUGGGAUCAUGUGCCCACCUCUCCUUUCAGUUCUAGGACUCCAUCUGAUACAGACCAGGAAAGGCCCUGUGUAUGCUACCUCUCUGUCUCUGUGAGUUCAUAUGUGUAGCUGUCCUGUUGUAUUCAGAAGGCCUUCUUUUCUUGGUGUCCUCCAUUCCCUCUGGACAAUCUAUUCUUCCCACCCCUUUUUCUUUAGGAUUCCCUGAGCCCUGAGGGGAAGGAAUUGUUGGAGACAUCCCACUUAGGGCUGGGUGUUUCAAGGUCUCUCACUUCCUGCAUAUUAUAUGGCUGUCUUUUUCUCUGUUCCUACCUGCUGCAGAAGGAAGCUUGUUUGGUCAUGGCGGAUCAAGGCACUGAUGCAUAAGUAUAACAGAAUUUCAUUAGGAGUACUUCAUUGUUAUGCCCCUUUAGUAGAACAGUAGUAUUUAGUUUUACCCUAGGUCCUUGGGCUAUCUAGUCACUGGUUCUUGGACACCCAAGCAGGAUCUGAUAUGGGUUCCAUCUGGUGGUGUGACACAAGUCACACCAAUAAAAUCAGACAUUGGUUGGUUACUCCCACAAGCUUUGUGCUACCAUUGCUCUAGCACAUCUUUCAGGCAAGCCACCAUUGUAGAUUGAAGGGUUUGUAGCUUGGUUGCAUUUAUGUUUCUCCUUCGAUAGUGUGCAGAGUACCUUCUGGGUACCAAGAACACUAGUUUCUAGGGGUCAACGGCUCUAGGUAGACAGCAGCUCAACUUUUUCAUGUUCAGUGAGUUGUGUAGGUGUUGUCUACAGCAAUAGGGCUUUGCCAUGGGCUUGUGGAAAACAACCUAUAGCCUUGGCUAUAGCCUAAUUUGCUUGGAGGCUCCCAUGGGACCCCUUUGGCCAACAACUCAAUUAGAUAUAGCCCAUUCCUUAUACUGGAAGCUUCAUUUGGUGACAAGAGAUGUGCAGUUGGGGCUCUGACUCUCCCAUUAUUUGGUGAUUUCAUUUAAAUUGCCUUCAUAUAUGUAUAUAUUUUAGGAUGCUUCUACUGUAUUAGGUUUCCAUACUAUUCCUCAAAUGACCCUUAAUUUUAGGUGUGUCUCCCUAUAUCCCCUCUUUAGUCACUCUUCCCUCUCUCGCUCUCCUCUUGGUCUUCCCAUUCAGGCCCCCUUCCUCCCACCAGCAUCAUCCAUCCAUCCUUCCAUAACUCUCUGUUUUAUUUCUCUUUCCUAGGGAGAUCUAUCUAUACACCUAGUUCCUUACUCUAUACUUAACAUCUGUGGUUCUACAGAUUAUAGCUUGCUUAUCCUUAACUGCUAAUAUCUACACAGAAGCAAAUAUAUAUCAUAUUUGUCUUUCUGGGUCUGAUGAUUUUUUUUCUAGUUCCAUCCAUUUACCUGCCAAUUUUAUGAUUUAAUUUUCUAAUGUCCAAGUAAUAAUCCAUUAGGUAAAUGUACCAUAUUUUUUUCAAUCAUUCAUAUGUUGAGGGACAUCUAGAUUGUUUCCUGUUUCUGGCUAUUAUGAAUAGAAUAGCAAUGAACAGGGUUGAACAAGUGUCUGUGCUAGGAUGAUGCACCCUUUGAGUAUACACCCAAGAAUACUAAAGUUAGAUCUUGAGGUAGAUUGAUUCCCAUUGUUCUGAGGAACCACUAUACUUUCCAUAAUAGCUGUACAAGUUUGUAGUCCCACCAGCGGUGGUCAAGUAUUCAACUUUACUCCACAGCAUCACCACCAUGAACUAUCACUUGUUUUAUUGAACUUGGCCAUUCUGACAGGCAUAUGAUGAAAUUUCAAAGUAGUUUUGAUUUGCACUUUUUUUGAUGACUAAGGAUGUUGAACAUUUCAUUAACAGUUUCUUGCCAUUUGACUUUCCUCUUUUGGGAAUUCUCUGUUUAGGGGAAUGUACUUCCCCUUUUUAGUUGGGUUAAUUGAUAACUUGAUAUUCAUUUUUUUCAGUUUCUUAUAUAUUUUUGAUAUUAGCUCUCUAUUGGAUGUGUAUUGCUUUAAAACAAACAAACAAACAAAAACCUUCACAGUCUGUAGUCUGCCAUUUCGUCUGAAUGAUGAAGUCCUUUGUCAUGCAAAAGCAUGAAGUCCCAUUUAUUGAUUGUUGAUCUUAGUGCCUAUACUAAUGGUAUUCUGUUCAGAAAGUAUUUUUCUAUGCCAAUGCAUUCAAGGCUAUUCCUCACUUUGUCUUCUAACAGGUUCAGUAUGUCUGGCUUUAUGUUGUGGUCUUUAAUCCACUUGGACUUGAGCUUUGUGCAGGGUGCUAAAUAUUUGUAUUCUAUUUGUAUUCUUCUACAUGCAGACAUCCACUUAGACCAGCACCAUUUGUUGAAGAUGCUUUCUUUUUUCCAUUAUGUAUUUCUGUCUUCUUUAUCCAAAAAUCAUGUGGCCAUAGGUAUGUGAAUUUAUGUCUGGGUCUUCAUUUUGAUUCCAUUGAUUGACAUGAUUGGUUCUGUGCCAAUACCAUGCUGUUUUUAUUACUAUAUCUCUGUAGUAUGAUUUGAUCUUGGGGGUGGUAAUUUCUCCAGCAGUUAUUUUAUUAUUUGGGAUUUAUUUUAGCUCUCUUUGUUUUUUGUUUUUGUUUUUGUUUUGUGUAUAUGUGUGUGUAUGUUUCCAUAUGGAGUUAAAAAUUGUCCUUUCAAAAUCUGUGAAGAAUUGUGUUGGUAUUUUGAUGGGGAUUGCGUUGAAUCUAUAGAUUAAUUUGAUGAGUUGGCCAUUUUUACUAUAUUAAUCCUACUGAUGUGAGCAUGGGAGAUCUUCCCAUCUUCGGAUAUCUUCCUCAAUGUUUUAAAGUUUUUAACAUACAAGUCUUUCACUUUCUUGGUUAGAGUUACCCCAAGAUAUUUUAUAAUUUUUGAACUAUUAUGAAUGGUGUUGUUUUCCUGAUUUCUUUCUCAAUCUGCCAUUGGUAUAUAGGAAGGUUACUGAUUUUUAUGAGUAAAUCUUGUAUCCGGCUACUUUGCUAAAAGUAUUUAUCAAAUGCAGGAGUUUCCCCAUGGACUUGUAGGGUUACUAUCAUAUCAUCUACAAAUAAAGGUAGUUUGACUUUUCUCUUUCCAAUUUGUUUCCCCUUACUCUCUCUCAGUUGUCUUGCUGCUCUAGCUAGGACUUCAAGUACUAUAUUGAAUAGGUAUGGAGAAAGUGAACUUGUCUUGCUCCUGAUUUUAGUGGAAUGGCUUUGGGUUUUCAUUUAGAUUGAUGUUGGCUAUGGGCUGGUUGUAAACUACCUUUAUUAUAUUGUAAUAUGUUCCUUAUAUCCAUAAUCUCUCCAGGACUUUUAGUGUGAAGGGAUGUUGGAUUUUGUCAAAGAACUUUUGUGCAUCCAAUCACAUGAUCACACAGUUUUGUCUUUCAGUUUGUGUAUAUGGCAGAUUACAUUUACAGAUUUAUAUAUGUUGAACCAUUCUUGCAAUUCUAAGGUGAAGUCUACUUGGUAGAUAAUUUUUUAAAAAGAACUAUUUAUUUAUUAUAGACAAAUAUAUAUGGGGUAUACUGUAGCUCAGACACACCAGAAGAGGGCAUCAGAUCUCAUUACAGAUAAUUGUAAGCCACCAUCUGGUUGCUGGGAAUUGAAUUCAUGACUUCUGGAAGAACAGUCAGUGCUCUUAAACGCUGAGCCAUCUUUCCAGCACACACACACACACACACACACACACACACAUACACACACACACGCCCCUUGUAGAUGAUCUUUUUGAUGCUCUUGGAUUCAGCUUGCAAGUAUUUUAUUGAGUAUAUUUGCAUCUAUGUUCAUAAGAGAAAUUGGUCUGUAAUUCUCUUUCUGUAUGUUUUACGUGGUGUAGGUAUCAGGGUAACUGUGGUCUCACAAAAUGAACUGGGCAAUGUUCCUUCAGUUUCUAUUUUGUAGAACAAUUUGAGGAAUAUUGGCAUUAACUCUUUGAAAAUCUGAUACAAUUCUGCACUAAAACCAUCUGACCUUGAGGGUUUUGUUUGUUGGAUUAUUUGGAGCGGGUUCUUUUUCUUUUCUUUUCUUGUCUUGUCUUUUCUUUUCUUUUCUUUUUUUGGGGGCAGACUUGUAAUGACCUCUUCAGUUUCACUAGGAGUUAUAGAUCUAUUUAAAUUGUUUAUCUGAUCUUGAUUUAACUUUGAUGUGUUCUGUAUUUUUUUUUAAUUAUUACUACAUUUAAUUUUUACAGACCAGUCAUUGCCCCCCUCCCGGUCUACCCUCCUACAGUUCCUCGUCCCAUUCCUCCUUCCCACUGCACCCUCCCUCCCUCCCUCCCCCACCCCACUCCAAGAGAAUGCCCCACCCCCAUCCCACUCCCUUGGGCCUCAUGUCUCUUGAGGGUUAGGCGAAUCUUCUCCCACUGAGGCUAGACCAGGUAGUCUUCUGAUGGAUAUGUGUCAGGGGCCUCAGACCAGCUCAUGUAUGCUGUCUGGUUGGUGGCUCAGUGUCUGAGAGAUCUCAGGGGGUCCAAGUUAGUUGAGACUGCUGGUCUGCCUAUGGGAUCACUCUCUUCCUCAGCUUCUUACAGCCUUCCUCUAAUUCAACCACAGGGGUCUUCAACUUCAGUCCAAUGAAUGGGUGUAAUUAUCUGCAUCUGUCUCAGUCAGCUGCUUGUUGGGUCUCUCAGAGCACGGCUAUGCUAGGCUCCUGUCUAUAAGCAUACUAUAGCAUCAGUAAUAGUGUCAGGUCUUGGAGCCUCCCCUUGAGAUGGAUCCCAAGUUGGUCCUGUCACUGGACGUCUUUUCCCUCAGUCUCUUCUCCAAUUUUGUCCCUGAAGUUCUUUUAGACAGGUUUUGUUCCUAAGGUCCAUUUGCUUGGAAUCUCUUUUUUCAAUCUUUUACUCUCGGGUGAUAUCUAUUCUUGAUGUUAAGGUGUAUAUCUUGGGUACAGUAGAGGAUUGAUCCUGUUUCUGCAUCCAUUCUGUUAGCCUCUGUCUUUUUUAUUGGGGAAUUGAGACCAUUGAUGUUGACAGAUAUUAGUGAGCAGUACAUGUUGAUUCCUGUUAUUUUGUUUUUGUGCUGUGUGUCCAUGUGUGUUUAUGUCUUUUCCCCUGACCUUUCUUAGAUUUAACUUUUUUUUUUUUAACUAAAGUAUCCAUUCUUCUAUCAUGUCUUCAGUGACUGAGAUUCCCUCUUGUGGAAAUGCCUGUA